rnacentral:rRNA from 1 species
GUGAGGAAUAUUGCGCAAUGGGCGAAAGCCUGACGCAGCAACGCCGCGUGGACGAUGAAGGCCUUCGGGUUGUAAAGUCCUUUUCUGGGGGAAGACACGGACGGUACCUCAGGAACAAGUGUCGGCUAACUACGUGCCAGCAGCCGCGGUAAAACGUAGGACGCGAGCGUUAUCCGGAUUUACUGGGCGUAAAGCGCGUGCAGGCGGCGGCUUAAGUCGUGCGUGAAAGCUCCCGGCUCAACCGGGAGAGGCCGUACGAAACUAAGCAGCUAGAGGGCAGCAGAGGCGUGUGGAAUUCCGGGUGUAGUGGUGAAAUGCGUAGAUAUCCGGAGGAACACCAGUGGCGAAGGCGACACGCUGGGCUGUACCUGACGCUAAGACGCGAAAGCGUGGGUAGCGAACGGGAUUAGAUACCCUGGUAGUCC